GGGAGGGUGACACGUAGUCCCAGUGAAAUGCUGUCACCUCAGUGGUUAACAGGGUUUAUUCUGCUGCUCUGGCUGGCUGGCUGGUUGCCGCCUGCCUUCCUCACACCUCUGUAUGUGUCUAUCCCGAAGCUGAAUGCUUGGUAGGGGAAGACAGCGUGCCCUGACAGAGAAGACUGUUGCUUCAGAGAGAACACGAGGAGCUGUCCUGGCGUCCAAAUAAGAUCGCAAGAACCAGCGAGUGGAGGGCGCACUCCUGCAGGCAAAAGCAAGCAUGGAGUUCUCAUCUAGUGAGCACUUCGGCU
rnacentral:snRNA from 1 species